rnacentral:tRNA from 1 species
UCCCUGGUGGCUCAGAGGUUAAAGCGUCUGCCUGCAAGGCAGGAGACCCAGGUUCAAUCCCUGGGUCGGGAA